UGGCUUGGUCGGACGGUCGCGCCGCAGGAUGCCGAAAGGUACUGCGGUGAGGAAAGUCCGGGCUUCAUAGGGCGAGGGUAGCUGAUAACGUCAGCCGCGGGUAACCGCCGGGAAAGUGCAACAGAAACAGACCGCCGUUUCUCUUUCGGAAACGGUAAGGGUGGAAAGGCGAGGUAAGAGCUCACCCACUCCUAUGGUAACAUAGGUUUGCUGUAAACCCUACCCGAAGCAACACCGUGUGGGGAAUGUCUGCCCGACAGCGUCCGCAAGGAGACCCAUUGGGUGGCACGCGGAGAAAAUCCGCGGAGCGUACCGGUGACGGUACGCAAAGAUAGAUGAUCGUUCAAGACAGAACCCGGCUUACAGAUCAGACCGCAAA
rfam:Clostridium sp. CAG:448 genomic scaffold, scf174